UCCAGCAAUGCCGCGUGGAUGAAGAAGGUCUUCGGAUUGUAAAGUCCUUUCGGCGGGGACGAUGAUGACGGUACCCGCAGAAGAAGCCCCCGGCUAACUUCGUGCCAGCAGCCGCGGUAAGUACGAAGGGGGGCUAGCGUUGCUCGGAAUUACUGGGCGUAAAGGGCGCGUAGGCGGACCACUCAGUCAGGCGUGAAAGCCCCGGGCUCAACCUGGGAACUGCGCUUGAGACUUGUGGUCUUGAGGGCGAGAGAGGGUGGUGGAAUUCCCAGUGUAGAGGUGAAAUUCGUAGAUAUUGGGAAGAACACCGGUGGCGAAGGCGGCCACCUGGCUCGCAUCUGACGCUGAGGCGCGAAAGCGUGGGGAGCAAACAGGAUUAGAUACCCUGGUAGUCCACGCUGUAAACGAUGUGCGCUGGAUGUUGGGUGACCUAGUCACUCAGUGUCGUAGCUAACGCGGUAAGCGCACCGCCUGGGGAGUACGGCCGCAAGGUUGAAAACUCAAAAGGAAUUGACGGGGGGC
rnacentral:rRNA from 1 species